rfam:Niastella koreensis GR20-10, complete genome.
ACCCAGCUUUAGGGGUGUCCAUACAUCGGACUGAGAUAAUACCCUUUGAACCUGAUGCAGUUGAUACUGCCGAAGGGAAAAGUGAAAGUCUUCUU